rnacentral:rRNA from 1 species
AAGUCGUAACAAGGUCUCCGUUGGUGAACCAGCGGAGGGAUCAUUACCGAGUUUUCAACUCCCAAACCCACUGUGAACUUAUACCUUUACUGUUGCUUCGGCGGGUCUCGGCCCCGGCGCUGCCCCUCCUCUUACCGGGAGGGGUGAGCCGGACAACACGGCCCCCGCCGGAGGACCCAAACUCUUGAAUUUUCGCGACUGGCUCGCGGCAGUUUGUAUUCUGAUUAAUUCAAAACAAAAUGAAUCAAAACUUUCAACAACGGAUCUCUUGGUUCUGGCAUCGAUGAAGAACGCAGCGAAAUGCGAUAAGUAAUGUGAAUUGCAGAAUUCAGUGAAUCAUCGAAUCUUUGAACGCACAUUGCGCCCGCCAGUAUUCUGGCGGGCAUGCCUGUUCGAGCGUCAUUUCAACCCUCAAGCACUGCUUGGUGUUGGGGGCCGGCGAGGUCGUCUUUCUCGACGCGCCGCCCCCGAAAUGACUUGGCGGCCCCGUCGCGGCCCUUCCUCUUGCGUAGUAGCACACACCCCGCAUCGGGAGCCCGACGGCGGCCACUGCCGUAAAACACCCAACUUUCUCAGAAGUUGACCUCGGAUCAGGUAGGAAUACCCGCUGAACUUAA